rnacentral:rRNA from 1 species
UACGGGGGGGGCAAGCGUUGUUCGGAAUUACUGGGCGUAAAGGGCUCGUAGGCGGCCAACUAAGUCAGACGUGAAAUCCCUCGGCUUAACCGGGGGAACUGCAUCUGAUACUGGAUGGCUUGAGUUUCGGGGAGAGGGAGUGCGGAAUUCCAGGUGUAGCGGUGAAAUGCGUAGAGUAUCUGGAGGAACACCGGUGGCGAAGGCGGCAGUCCUGGACCGACACUGACGCUGAGGAGCGAAAGCCAGGGGAGCAAAGCGGG